AGAGCGUAGGUGGAGCGUAGACCCAAUGCUAACACCAUCUGUUGACCAGUGGUUACAUACGAUCCCUGAGUCCAGAAGCUCAAAGUAUUCUGUGCUCUAAAAUCACAACUACAUUACUGUCGUAAUGUCAUAGCUGCUGCAGAAAUGGGAAGAAAAAGAAAAAAACCUUGAUAGUUCUCCGGGGGUUCUCUGUGCUGUCUGCAGUUGCUUUGGUGUCUUCUGUCUGUCACUCUGCCUCCAGACAGCAGAAAAAGACUUAGUGCCUGCUCCCCACCUGCUCCUUCGGAAAUGCUGCCAGAAUUGGGUGAGAGCAUUCUACGCCCAGAACCUCAAAGAUGGCGGCCGUCUAAACCACAGAAGCUCAAGUUGCAAAUCAUUUCCACCAGGCGAUUCUUAACCAUUUCGAUCAGUCAGAGCUCCAAGGAGCCACUUCUGCAGACCGUGCAACGGUGUGAGGCUGAUCAAAUCAACCCUGGAAAUCGUAAUUGGCAAACCUCCUCGUGUGGUUUUGAGAAAUUAAUCAAGACAGGUUUGGUGAGCCUUUGCUGAGAGAGUCUCUUUGGGACAAACGACUCCGUUCCCAGUGCACUGUUACAAAGGAAAACUCCAGCUGCAAAUCCCAAGGUGACCCAUUUAUCCACUCGGUUGGAGAAUAAUGACUUCUUAAGCACAGCAAAUAAUUCCGCUGGUUUAAAACCAAUUUGGUUAAUACGAUUAAAUGAACUAUUUGAUCUUUCGGGUUCAAAACCCGUCAAUUUGACUCAGGCGUUAACAUUUUAAUAAGGACGUAAGCGUCGUGAAGAUUCCAACGCCUUCCCAUAACGUUUCGGAGGAGUGAGUUUCCGAAAGUGGCACAUGUCACAUCACACUUCAAAUCCCCAGAAGUACUCAGAAGAAUUGAUAUUGCAAUAUUUCUCACCUUAAGAACUCAUUUCGUUUAUUGGUGUUACCAAAGGAGAAACUGGAGUCAAGCUCUGCCCCCUCCCCACCCCACCCCUUACCCCGUGUGCUAGCCUCAGUGGUCACCUCCCAGUCUCAAGGCUUCCUCAGAGCACAGAAGCACUGUAUGAGCGCUCCAUCUGCAGGCCAGAAGAGGACAUCAGAUCUCACGAAAGAAGGUUGCAAGCUACCAUGUGGUUGCUGGGAACUGAGAUCGGGACCUCCGGAAGAGCAGCCAGUUCUCUUAACCGCUCAGCCUUCUCCCCAACCCCUAAUAAACACAUAUUAAAAUUAAAUAAAAUUUCAUUCUUGCUCCAAAC
ensembl:lncRNA LOC102557532 uncharacterized LOC102557532